UUGUUUGUGUUGUUGGGUUCGAUCAGAAGGCAGGGGGCGACUUCAAGCUCCCCAAAACCCUAGUUCACAUCAAAAACCACCAAUUGAAGGAUCAAAUCGAGUCCAAAACGAAAAUCGAGCAUAUUCGUGAUCCCCAUUGAAAGGAGAUCAUAAGUUUGUCGCCUAACGAGCUAGGUGGAGGCUUGGAAAAGAAGCGGUCAAACGAAUCAAGCACGAGAAGAAAACGUAUUCGGAUGCGAGGAAAUAACAUGUGUUGCGUUGCUUUAAUUAGAAAAUUUAAAGCAGGAAGUAUGUAAACGGGUCAAUACUAUGAUCCGAGCCAGGUGAAGAUGGGAUAAGCGGUUGAAAGAUACGAAAGUUUUCGUGCAAAUAAACGGCAAAAUAGGAAAGCUGGAAUGCAGGGACCACCGUAACUUACGGUGCCACCGUAAGUUACGGUGGAGCUGAAGGCUUUACGGCAGCCCCCUACUGAUUUACGUUGAAGGACACUCGCAUAUUAGGAUAGCGAGAGCUUAACAAAUUACGGAUAUGAUUGAAGAACGGUCCAAAGUAUGACAAGAGGAGCAUGCUCACCAAGGACUAAAUCGCGUAACGACCGCGAACAAAGUUAAAGGCAAGAAACGCCCGUCGGGGCAAGCAUUACCAGUUUGUCGCCUAACGAGCUAGGUGGAGGCUUGGAAAAGAAGCGGUCAAACGAAUCAAGCACGAGAAGAAAACGUAUUCGGAUGCGAGGUAAGUAGAGCUUACGCCCCUUUACAUUAUUUGCAAAGUUACUUAAUUUCAAGUAAUGAUAUGAAUGCUACUAAGUGGUUGGUAUAUGAUAUUCCGACGCGAUUCAAUGAGAGUUGGAAUGAGGGGAAAAUGGUAAAUUAGUCAUGUAAUGACGAAUAAUUAAAAACGGUUUUAAGUAAAACAAGUUCAAAGAAAACCGGGAUAGGUAAAAGGGGUGAAAUGGUAAUUAAAUACCAUCUCAACACGGACAAAUGGUCAAUUAGACUAAAUGGGUCAAAUGGUGUGGAUAACACCAUUUGGCAAUAACAUUUGACGAUCGCUUGUUGAGUUUUGUGAUUUCAGGAAAUAACAUGUGUUGCGUUGCUUUAAUUAGAAAAUUUAAAGCAAGAAGUAUGUAAACGGGUCAAUACUAUGAUCCGAGCCAGGUGAAGAUGGGAUAAGCGGUUGAAAGAUAUGAAAGUUUUCGUGCAAAUAAACGGCAAAAUAGGAAAGCUGGAAUGCAGGGACCACCGUAACUUACGGUGCCACCGUAAGUUACGGUGGAGCUGAAGGCUUUACGGCAGCCCCCUACUGAUUUACGGUUCUUUUUGGAUGCCGGAAGACGAUCAAGCUCAUCGAAGGACCGAACACGAUAAAGAUACAUGCUUCCGCACAUUUCCUCGUCGUAAAUUUUUAAACGACAAACUCGAUCACUUAUGUUGAAUAACUUAUGAUUUGUAAAAGUUUUAAUAAACUCGUAUUU
rnacentral:lncRNA from 1 species